rnacentral:lncRNA from 1 species
GGUGAUGUGGUGGAGCAGUGGUGGUGGUUGAGGUGGAGGAGCGAUGGUGUUGAGGUGAUAGAGCAGUGAUUGUGGUGGUGAAGUGGUGAUAGUGGUGUGAUUGGUGGUUGAGGUGGUGGUGGUAGUUGAGACGGAGGUGGAGCAAUGGUGAUGGUGGUGGAGCAAUGGUGAGGUGGUGGUGAUAUGAUGGAGCAACGGUGGUGGUGAGAGUGGUGGUGGUUGAGGUGGAGGAGCGAUUGUGGUUGAGGUGGUGGAGGCGGUGAUGAGGGUGGUGGAGCGGUGGUGGUGGUUACGGC